AAGCAGCACUCUGUGGCAGAUAAUCAAAACUGUCUGACACAAUUUGAGCUUGCUCUAACAACAAAGUCUAACCUAUUCAGGUGCUCUCUCCUCUAUGAGACAAACCAUUCUACAGACUUAUGGAGU